rnacentral:rRNA from 1 species
GACGAACGCUGGCGGCGUGCUUAACACAUGCAAGUCGAACGGAAAGGCCCUGCUUUUGUGGGGUGCUCGAGUGGCGAACGGGUGAGUAACACGUGAGUAACCUGCCCUUUACUUUGGGAUAACUUCAGGAAACUGGGGCUAAUACCGGAUAGGAGCUCCUGCUGCAUGGUGGGGGUUGGAAAGUUUCGGCGGUUGGGGAUGGACUCGCGGCUUAUCAGCUUGUUGGUGGGGUAGUGGCUUACCAAGGCUUUGAAGGGUAGCCGGCCUGAGAGGGUGACCGGCGACAUUGGGACUAAGAGACGGCGCAGACUGCUACGGGAGGCAACAGGGGGGAAUAUUGCACAAUGGGCGGAAGCCUGAUGCAGCAACGCCGCGGGCGGGAUGACGGCCUUCGGGUUGUAAGCCGCUUUCGCCUGUGACGAAGCGUGAGUGACGGUAAUGGGUAAAGAAGCACCGGCUAACUACGUG